rnacentral:rRNA from 1 species
UACGUAGGGUGCGAGCGUUGCCCGGAUUUAUUGGGCGUAAAGGGCGCGUAGGCGGCCACGCACGUCCGUUGUGAAAUCGCCCGGCUCAACUGGGCGGGGUCAGCGGAUACGGUGUGGCUCGAGCAAGCUAGGGGGCAAUGGAAUUCCCGGUGUAGUGGUGGAAUGCGUAGAUAUCGGGAGGAACACCAGUGGCGAAGGCGGUUGCCUGGAGCUUUGCUGACGCUGAGGCGCGAAAGCGUGGGGAGCCGAUCCGG